GAGUUUGAUCGUGGCUCAGAUUGAACGCUGGCGGCAUGCCUUACACAUGCAAGUCGAACGGCAGCAUGAUCUAGCUUGCUAGAUUGAUGGCGAGUGGCGAACGGGUGAGUAAUACAUCGGAACGUGCCCUGUAGUGGGGGAUAACUAGUCGAAAGAUUAGCUAAUACCGCAUACGACCUGAGGGUGAAAGUGGGGGACCGCAAGGCCUCAUGCUAUAGGAGCGGCCGAUGUCUGAUUAGCUAGUUGGUGGGUAAAGGCCCACCAAGGCGACGAUCAGUAGCUGGUCUGAGAGGACGAUCAGCCACACUGGGACUGAGACACGGCCCAGACUCCUACGGGAGGCAGCAGUGGGGAAUUUUGGACAAUGGGCGAAAGCCUGAUCCAGCAAUGCCGCGUGUGUGAAGAAGGCCUCGGUGUAA
rnacentral:rRNA from 1 species